rnacentral:rRNA from 1 species
AACGUAGGUGGCGAGCGUUAUCCGGAUUUACUGGGCGUAAAGGGUGUGCAGGCGGAAACUCAAGUGGUGUAUGAAAUCGCCCGGCUCAACCGGGUGGGGUUAUGCCAGACUGGGUUUCUAGAGACCGAGAGAGGGGCGUGGAAUUCCGGGUGUAGUGGUGAAAUGCGUAGAGAUCCGGAGGAACCCCAGAGGCGAAGGCGGCGCCUAGCUCGGUUCUGACGCUCAGACACGAAAGCAUGGGGAGCGAACGGG